UACAGAGGGGGCAAGCGUUGUUCGGAAUUACUGGGCGUAAAGGGCGCGUAGGCGGCCUGCUAAGUCGAACGUGAAAUCCCUGGGCUCAACCCAGGAACUGCGUCCGAUACUGGUUGGCUUGAAUCCGGGAGAGGGACGCGGAAUUCCAGGUGUAGCGGUGAAAUGCGUAGAUAUCUGGAGGAACACCGGUGGCGAAGGCGGCGAUCUGGGUAGAUACUGACGCUGAGGUGCGAAAGCGUGGGGAGCAAACAGG
rnacentral:rRNA from 1 species